AUAUUAUUUUGGCAGAUUAGUGUUUUAAAUUUAGAAUUUAAGUAUGUAUAUAUAUACAAAUAAUAC
rnacentral:tRNA from 2 species